UACGGAGGGGGCUAGCGUUGUUCGGAAUUACUGGGCGUAAAGGGCGCGUAGGCGGUCCUGAUCGUCGGAUGUGAAAGGCCUGGGCUCAACCUGGGAAUGGCAUCCGAUACGGCGGGACUGGAGUGUGGGAGAGGUUGGUGGAAUUCCCAGUGUAGAGGUGAAAUUCGUAGAUAUUGGGAAGAACACUGGUGGCGAAGGCGGCCAACUGGACCACAACUGACGCUGAGGCGCGAAAGCGUGGGGAGCAAACAGG
rnacentral:rRNA from 1 species